rnacentral:rRNA from 1 species
CCUACGGGAGGCAGCAGUGGGGAAUUUUGGACAAUGGGCGCAAGCCUGAUCCAGCCAUUCCGCGUGCAGGAUGAAGGCCCUCGGGUUGUAAACUGCUUUUGUACGGAACGAAACGGCUCUCUCUAAUACAGGGGGCUAAUGACGGUACCGUAAGAAUAAGCACCGGCUAACUACGUGCCAGCAGCCGCGGUAAUA